UGGGGAAAUCAUCGUGCGCCACCUCGAGUGAGGGCAAGACGGAUGCCUCAGAGGGACCCUCUGGGUCCAGCACUGCGGACAAACAGCAGCCGGCCCGCACAACUGCGGCAGAUUGCGACGUGCCUGUUCAACAACUUCAGCGGGAGAUGUUCGCGGAUAUCAUGCGACAGGCUAAGACCACUGCCGAGUCAAUAAACGUCUUGUCGCAGCCAAGGACUCCGCACGAAAGAAUCGUUUACGCCUACUCAGCGCUACUGAGGGAGGAGAUGUUGCAGAUUCCCGAGUCACAAUGGCACAGCUACUGCUUGGAGGGUUUGGUCUUGACAAGGGCGCACAGACUUCUUCUGCCAAGUCCGAUGAGGCCCAUGCCACACCAAUAAAUUGGGAAUGAUGGCACCACAACAUGCUCCCCAGGCAAUGAUGGGAUCCUGGCCUAUGGCAUACCCCUGGAUGGCAGCACCGUCCUGUAUGGUAUGGCUGCCCAGCCUGCAGCUGUCCGUUUUUUUCAUUUUUCGUAUUUUUAGUUAGUUAAAGUUGUUUUGUUCUGGAGCUCUAGUCUUUUUUAUGUGGGGGAGGGGGAGGGGGAAACUACUUUUCAGGGUCCCCACCUUGUCGGGGAGGCUGCUUUUCUCCGACCCGCACCUCUGACCCGUCCUCGCGGGCCUGGAGCGGCGUCCCCGUCGGGACCGGCCAGAUCCUCGGCAUCAGCGGCGGCACAGCGCUGGAGCGCUAUUGCGGAGCGGGCGAUGCCUUGCCUGGGUCGCCACGCUGGGACUCCGGUGAGCUGAGACCGUCGAGAAAAACAUCGCAGAGCUGCGGGUCUGUGGAGCGGCCAGCUGCGGCGCUGAACUUUACAUCGGGAGCCUGGGAUCUCUCGCUGAGAUCACCAGUAGUGGAGCUCCACCCAGCGCGGCCUGUCGGCUUCGGAAGCCGCAGUCUCCAGUAAGGAGGCGGCCGUUCCAGGGUUCCCAAGCCGCUGAGAGGUUUCUCCCGACGCCGGAGCACCAUCACCCGGCGAGAACGGCCUGGAACAUCGGGCCUCCGUAAAAGCGACUGCAGAGGCCAAAAUAGGCCUAACUAUGGUUUGACAUGGGGAUGGGGACUGGACUUUGUGCUUUCCCUCAUAAUUGGAACCAUUAUGGGGGGAUGUUUUAUGUUUAAAUUUCUUUAUUAUUGUCAUGUCUGUAUUUUUUUUUAUGUGCUGCAUUGGCAACAAGCAUUUCACUACACCAAUUGGUGUAUGUGACUAAUAAAGUAACCUUUGAUGUCAGGGCAGCCAGCUCAACGCCACAUCAUGCGGCACCCGGCAUGGAUGCGAUCGGAGCAACAGAUCCCGGCGCGAUUGGAGGGUCCCGACACAAGCGCCAACUUCAGCCUGAAUCUUUCCGACUAUUUGAUGGAGGAUUGCCCAGUGCAAAUGGGCCGUAAAGAGUAAUGCCCUCUCCAACAUUCACUAUUAUGUUGAAUUGUGUUGCACAUUAAACAUUAGCCUCUUGUUUUUUAAUACGUUAUUUGUUUGUAUGCACUAAAUAAACAAAUUAAUUCUUAUAAAAUCAUGGGUGUUUAUGGGAAAUAACCUCACCCACAACUUGAUUAUUAAACUUCAGUGUAACC